rnacentral:lncRNA from 1 species
ACAUUUUUACUUUUCAUGGAAAAUAUUUCAUUCAAUAUAUCAAAACAAAGAAAUACAGCAUUUUUAAUUCAUUACAAAGAGAAAAGGUAAAUGACAUCCUAUGGAUCCCUAACAGCCCGGGAUGCUGGAGGACGAGAAGUGCACAACUUCUUGAUCUCUCUCUCAUAGGCAGCCUCCAUAUCAGCCUUCUCCUUUGCAAGUCG